AGCAGCUUCGACCCGCGCCGCGCCUCCCGAAAGUUUCGAACAAAAGUCCACAAAUCCCCUUCGCCGUCUCCGGCGAGCCCCGCCCCUCAUCGCCGCCGCGCCAAAGAGACAGUGAGAGGGGGGAUGGAUCAGUCCAUCAGAACCGCAUGCGAGUUCCUCUCGUCGGUGCUAAACCACGCUGAGUCCUCGUCCCGCGAGCUCGCCGACGCCGUCUCCCAACGCCCCGUCCACCUCGAGAUGGCGAGGACCUCGUUCCUGCAGAAGCUGGAGCACAGGGUGGAGGCGUCGGCCGCCGACUUGCAGCACAUCGAGUCCAUCGCCCUCGACACCGUCUCCUUCGAGGAGCUCCUCGGCCACUGCGGCGAGGCGCUCAAAGUCUACGCGCGCCACGCCGACGCCCUCCAGUCGCACCUCGCUUCCUUUGGCUACGAGCCCCCGGACGCACAACACCCCGAGAUCGAUGUGGAUGUGGAAGAUGGAGAUGUCGGGAAGGUUGGGGACCCUGGAGAUAGAUGCCUCAGCGUGUCGCGUUCAGUGCUCAGGUCGGGUAAGCGGCGGUUUGAUAGCCACAGCGAUGCGAUAUUUGAAGAGUCACUGAAGGAUCUUGGGUUUUCAGAUGCUUGUCUAGCCACUCUUUCUUCUGAAGGCGCACAUUAUGGUGAGAGCCCAAAGAAGCUUUACAAGAAUGCUGAAAGUACUGAUGAUGGCGAAAAGAUCAUGAAUGAAGCUGAAAUUAUGACUCCCCUAAAUGAAAGAAAUGGUCAAGGUAAUUCUUUUGAAGGAGUGAUAAGGGCAUCAAAGGAGGAUUAUGAGCAACUCCCUCCUUAUAUGAAGAGUCUAGCAUCAUGGGAGGAGUUGCAGGAGGGAAUAUCCAAACUAAAUUCAUACUUGGGUGGUGACAAGUUGCAGGGGAGUGUUGCUUUGAACCAGGACCGUGUUGCAGAGAUAGGAUUGGGUACAUGCACUUGCUAUAUUUUUUUUUUGAUAAUGGAAACAAGAGUUCCGGCUUUAGCAUGGUAAUGCGUACAGCCAACACAAGACAAUUAUUACAUCCGAGAAACGUUGCAUAGAUAAUGAAACUAACUUAAAGAAGCAAAAUCACUAGAAUGUAGGUAACUCUAGGCAUCCUCAAUUCUUGCAUUUGAGCGCCAUCCAUGAUUUGCAAAGACUUCCAUCGCCACCACUUCCAACGCUUGACAGACAUCGAGGAUUUGUUGAUGUGAUUCCUCCUUCUGUAGAAGUCUCCAGAAUCUGAACCAGGCGCAAAGGAAGAGCCUGUUUGCUGAUGCUGUUGCGACUCAAUCAGCUAACUAUGGAGACAGUUGAUGGCUCUACCUUUUACACCCUGUGCAAGAACAACGUGUAGCCUGAUACUGCUACUGCUACAGCGUGUCAUGCUUAAGUUUUCCUUUUUCUUUUCGUAUGUCGAGUCUGGCUAGAAUAUUGUAUCAUGUUGAUGUAGCACUCGAUCUCAGCUCAAAAUAUUGUUUUUUUCUGAGCAGUUCUGGUCAUGUGAUCUUCAUUCCAACCAUGAAAUAAAGUGUGUUUGAGGCACCGCUCAUCUCCCUGCAA